rnacentral:lncRNA from 1 species
AUAAAUCCCCAAAAAUAGAUGUAGCAACUAAGGAUUCCAGUUUUAAGCCAGCGGGUACUGAGGUAGCUCUUACGUACAUGCUGAACAUUCAUAACAAUCAGUACAAUGAAGUUAACCUCUGCUGGGCCUGUAUUUAUCAAGCGUUUCAGAGUAGGACUGCUGAUCUGGGAUCAGUUCCUCCCUGUCCAUAAUAAUCAGAUUCGUUGUGAUCUAAAAGGAUAAAACUGAUCCUAGACCAGCACUCCUCCUACAGGCCCUGGAGAGUGAGAAAGGGAUAAACUGAUCCUAGACCAGCACUCCUCCUACAGGCCCUGGAGAGUGAGAGAGGGAUAAACUGAUCCUAGACCAGCACUCCUCCUACAGGCCCUGGAGAGUGAGAAAGGGAUAAACUGAUCCUAGACCAGCACUCCUACUACAGGCCCUGGAGAGUGAGAAAGGGAUGUAAACAAGCUAUCCAUUAUGGAGAGGAAUUCCAGUAUAAAAAGAAAGACAUCGAUCAAACCAAUGAGAAUGUGAU